rnacentral:rRNA from 1 species
UACGUAGGGGGCAAGCGUUGUCCGGAUUUAUUGGGCGUAAAGAGCUCGUAGGUGGUUCGGUUAGUCGGAUGUGAAAUCUCCAGGCUCAACCUGGAGGGGUCAUUCGAUACUGCCGUGACUAGAGUUCGGUAGAGGAGUGUGGAAUUCCUGGUGGAGCGGUGAAAUGCGCAGAGAUCAGGAGGAACACCCGUAGCGAAGGCGGCACUCUGGGCCGAUACUGACACUGAGGAGCGAAAGCGUGGGGAGCGAACAGG